rnacentral:rRNA from 1 species
AACGAACGCUGGCGGCAGGCUUAACACAUGCAAGUCGAGCGCCCCGCAAGGGGAGCGGCAGACGGGUGAGUAACGCGUGGGAAUCUACCUUUUGCUACGGAAUAACUCAGGGAAACUUGUGCUAAUACCGUAUGUGCCCUUCGGGGGAAAGAUUUAUCGGCAAAGGAUGAGCCCGCGUUGGAUUAGCUAGUUGGUGGGGUAAAGGCCCACCAAGGCGACGAUCCAUAGCUGGUCUGAGAGGAUGAUCAGCCACACUGGGACUGAGACACGGCCCAGACUCCUACGGGAGGCAGCAGUGGGAAUAUUGGACAAUGGGCGCAAGCCUGAUCCAGCCAUGCCGCGUGAGUGAUGAAGGCCCUAGGGUUGUAAAGCUCUUUCACCGGUGAAGAUAAUGACGGUAACCGGAGAAGAAGCCCCGGCUAACUUCGUGCCAGCAGCCGCGGUAAU